rnacentral:lncRNA from 1 species
UUUUACGUUGGUACAGUGCCGUUCAAGUUGGAGGCGGACUCCGCUCCUCAAAAUCCUUCUCAUUCAAGGGAUCCAGGUCCUCCAUCAACGCAGACCUGUUUUUGCUGCCUGGAAGGUCGCCGUCGCUUGGAUACUAAGUCCCCACCACCUUCCUACUUGUCGUACAUAAGUCGUUUUUAAAACCUAAACCAAUCUUAUGUAUAACAUGAGUACGACAACUCUGUUCUUGAGGCUUGAGAGUGAAGAAUACUGUGAGGGCGCAGCUACCGCUAAUGAAGCAGAGGAGAAGGUGGAAAGAGGCUUCUGCCAAGAACACGUAACAAUUUCAUCGCAUGUAGGUUGGCGAUUAACUGAAAUCCUAAAACGUUUGGCCAGGAAAAAUUCAUCAUUCACUUUCGUUACAGUUCGGCGCUGGCAAAAAGUUUAUACCACGUAUUAUAGGGCGUGGCAACAAUUGACAGAAAUCCAGAUUGUUUAUAUUCUGCCCUCUCAGACCUUCAUACAUCACAGUCGAAUACUAUCUGAACAAGAGUAAGAUUUAUCGUCUCUACAUCUAACCUAAUAUGGCCGAAAUAGUCACAUAUA